UGCACUUGUCUAAGUCUUCUAACAGUGA
rnacentral:sRNA from 1 species